UGCGACCCCAGGUCAGGCGGGACUACCCGCUGACUUUAAGCAUAUCAAUAAAUCGGACGUACAGAA
rnacentral:rRNA from 1 species